rnacentral:rRNA from 1 species
AGGAUGAACGCUAGCGGCAGGCUUAAUACAUGCAAAGUCGUGGGGCAGCGCAGGUAGCAAUACGUGGGCGGCGACCGGCAAACGGGUGCGGAACACGUACACAACCUUCCGAGAAGUGGGGAAUAGCCCAGAGAAAUUUGGAUUAAUACCCCGUAACAUAACGAUGUGGCAUCACAUUGUUAUUAUAGCUUCGGCGCUUCUUGAUGGGUGUGCGGCUGAUUAGAUAGUUGGCGGGUAACGGCCCACCAAGUCUACGAUCAGUAGCUGAUGUGAGAGCAUGAUCAGCCACACGGGCACUGAGACACGGGCCCGACUCCUACGGGAGGCAGCAGUAAGGAAUAUUGGUCAAUGGACGCAAGUCUGAACCAGCCAUGCCGCGUGAAGGAUUAAGGUCCUCUGGAUUGUAAACUUCUUUUAUCUGGGACGAAAAAAGGCGAUUCUUCGUCACUUGACGGUACCAGAUGAAUAAGCACCGGCUAACUCCGUG